GCGGACAGAUGGGAGCUUGCUCCCUGAUGUUAGCGGCGGACGGGUGAGUAACACGUGGGUAACCUGCCUGUAAGACUGGGAUAACUCCGGGAAACCGGGGCUAAUACCGGAUGGUUGUUUGAACCGCAUGGUUCAGACAUAAAAGGUGGCUUCGGCUACCACUUACAGAUGGACCCGCGGCGCAUUAGCUAGUUGGUGAGGUAACGGCUCACCAAGGCGACGAUGCGUAGCCGACCUGAGAGGGUGAUCGGCCACACUGGGACUGAGACACGGCCCAGACUCCUACGGGAGGCAGCAGUAGGGAAUCUUCCGCAAUGGACGAAAGUCUGACGGAGCAACGCCGCGUGAGUGAUGAAGGUUUUCGGAUCGUAAAGCUCUGUUGUUAGGGAAGAACAAGUGCCGUUCAAAUAGGGCGGCACCUUGACGGUACCUAACCAGAAAGCCACGGCUAACUACGUGCCAGCAGCCGCGGUAAUACGUAGGUGGCAAGCGUUGUCCGGAAUUAUUGGGCGUAAAGGGCUCGCAGGCGGUUUCUUAAGUCUGAUGUGAAAGCCCCCGGCUCAACCGGGGAGGGUCAUUGGAAACUGGGGAACUUGAGUGCAGAAGAGGAGAGUGGAAUUCCACGUGUAGCGGUGAAAUGCGUAGAGAUGUGGAGGAACACCAGUGGCGAAGGCGACUCUCUGGUCUGUAACUGACGCUGAGGAGCGAAAGCGUGGGGAGCGAACAGGAUUAGAUACCCUGGUAGUCCACGCCGUAAACGAUGAGUGCUAAGUGUUAGGGGGUUUCCGCCCCUUAGUGCUGCAGCUAACGCAUUAAGCACUCCGCCUGGGGAAUACGGUCGCAAGACUGAAACUCAAAGGAAUUGACGGGGG
rnacentral:rRNA from 1 species